rnacentral:rRNA from 1 species
UACAGAGGUGGCAAGCGUUGUUCGGAAUUACUGGGCGUAAAGGGCGCGUAGGCGGCCUGGCAAGUGGAUGGUGAAAUCCCUCGGCUUAACCGAGGAACUGCCAUCCAGACUGCUUGGCUUGAGACCGGGAGAGGUGAGUGGAAUUCCCAGUGUAGCGGUGAAAUGCGUAGAUAUUGGGAGGAACACCAGUGGCGAAGGCGGCUCACUGGACCGGUACUGACGCUGAGGCGCGAAAGCGUGGGGAGCAAACGGG